rnacentral:rRNA from 1 species
AGAGUUUGAUCCUGGCUCAGAAUGAACGCUGGCGGCGUGCUUAACACAUGCAAGUCGCACGAGAAAGCCUUGGCUUGCCAGGGCGAGUAAAGUGGCGCACGGGUGAGUAACGCGUGGGUAAUCUACCCUCGAAUUUGGGAUAACACCGCGAAAGCGGUGCUAAUACCGGAUAACAUCAUAUUUUCUUCGGAGGAUAUGAUCAAAGGUGGCCUCUACAUGUAAGCUACUGUUUGGGGAUGAGCCCGCGUACCAUUAGCUAGUUGGUAGGGUAAAGGCCUACCAAGGCGACGAUGGUUAGCUGGUCUGAGAGGAUGAUCAGCCACACUGGAACUGACACACGGUCCAGACUCCUACGGGAGGCAGCAGUGAGGAAUUUUGCGCAAUGGGGGAAACCCUGACGCAGCAACGCCGCGUGAGUGAUGAAGGCCUUCGGGUCGUAAAACUCUGUCAAGUGGGAAGAACCUAUGUAAGGUUAAUACCCUUAUGUACUGACGGUACCACUGAAGGAAGCACCGGCUAACUCCGUGCCAGCAGCCGCGGUAAUACGGAGGGUGCAAGCGUUAUUCGGAUUUAUUGGGCGUAAAGGGCGCGUAGGCGGUCUUGUAAGUCAGAUGUGAAAGCCCGGGGCUCAACCCCGGAAGGGCAUUUGAUACUGCGAGACUUGAGUAUGGGAGGGGGAAGUGGAAUUCCUGGUGUAGAGGUGAAAUUCGUAGAUAUCAGGAGGAACACCAGUGGCGAAGGCGACUUCCUGGACCAAUACUGACGCUGAUGCGCGAAGGCGUGGGGAGCAAACAGGAUUAGAUACCCUGGUAGUCC